UGUGUGCGUGUAUGUGUGCAUGUAUAUGUGUGUGUGUACAUAACACACACAUACAGAAUCCUCAGAAGGAGUACUUCUUCAAAGCCAGAAAUAU
rnacentral:miRNA from 1 species